CCUACGGGUGGCUGCAGUGGGGAAUAUUGCACAAUGGGCGCAAGCCUGAUGCAGCGACGCCGCGUGCGGGAUGGAGGCCUUCGGGUUGUAAACCGCUUUUGUUCAAGGGCAAGGCACGGUCUUUGGCCGGGUUGAGGGGAUGGGUCGAAUAAGCACCGGCUAACUACGUGCCAGCAGCCGCGGUAAGACGUAGGGUGCAAGCGGUAUCCGGAUUUAUGGGGCGUACAGGGCUCGUAGGCGGUUCGUCGCGUCCGGUGUGAAAGUCCAUCGCUUAACGGUGGAUCCGCGCCGGGUACGGGCGGGCUUGCGUGCGGUAGUGGAGACUGGAAUUCCCGGUGUAACGGUGUAAUGUGUAGAUAUCGGGAAGAACACCAAUGGCGAAGGCAGGUCUCUGGGCCGUUCCUGACGCUGAGGAGCGAAAGCGUGGGGAGCGAACAGGAUUAGAUACCCGUGUAGUC
rnacentral:rRNA from 1 species